AGCGAACGCUGGCGGCAGGCCUAACACAUGCAAGUCGAACGGACCCUUCGGGGUUAGUGGCGGACGGGUGAGUAACACGUGGGAACGUGCCUUUAGGUUCGGAAAAGCUCCUGGAAACGGGUGGUAAUGCCGAAUGUGCCCUUCGGGGGAAAGAUUUAUCGCCUUUAGAGCGGCCCGCGUCUGAUUAGCUAGUUGGUGAGGUAACGGCUCACCAAGGCGACGAUCAGUAGCUGGUCUGAGAGGAUGACCAGCCACACUGGGACUGAGACACGGCCCAGACUCCUACGGGAGGCAGCAGUGGGGAAUCUUGCGCAAUGGGCGGAAGCCUGACGCAGCCAUGCCGCGUGAAUGAUGAAGGUCUUAGGAUUGUAAAAUUCUUUCACCGGGGACGAUAAUGACGGUACCCGGAGAAGAAGCCCCGGCUAACUUCGUG
rnacentral:rRNA from 1 species